rnacentral:rRNA from 1 species
AGUGAACGCUGGCGGUAGGCCUAACACAUGCAAGUCGAACGGCAGCACAGUAAGAGCUUGCUCUUACGGGUGGCGAGUGGCGGACGGGUGAGGAAUACAUCGGAAUCUACUUUUUCGUGGGGGAUAACGUAGGGAAACUUACGCUAAUACCGCAUACGACCUACGGGUGAAAGCAGGGGAUCUUCGGACCUUGCGCGAUUGAAUGAGCCGAUGUCGGAUUAGCUAGUUGGCGGGGUAAAGGCCCACCAAGGCGACGAUCCGUAGCUGGUCUGAGAGGAUGAUCAGCCACACUGGAACUGAGACACGGUCCAGACUCCUACGGGAGGCAGCAGUGGGGAAUAUUGGACAAUGGCCGCAAGCCUGAUCCAGCCAUACCGCGUGGGUGAAGAAGGCCUUCGGGUUGUAAAGCCCUUUUGUUGGGAAAGAAAAGCAGCAGGUUAAUACCCCGCUGUUCUGACGGUACCCAAAGAAUAAGUACCGGCUAACUUCGUG